rnacentral:lncRNA from 1 species
UACCACCUAUUGCACUGCUGCUUUUGUCUCCCCCACCUCUGCUCCUGCGCAUAUAGAGUACAUAAAGUAGGCCUUCGAAACCUUCGACAUUUAGAGAUUAAGCACGAGAUAGGCGCCCAAUUAAGUUUAUGGGAAGCGCUCAGCGCAACUGCUUUGCCUUCUUCCUGGUGAUGUCUAUGUACUACACUGCAUCGCUAGCUACAUUGUGUCAACCUGAUUGACUAUAUUGAAUAGCUACAUAGUGAUCAUUUUGACUGAUCCGCAGAACAACGCCUUCGGUGUCCUCAGCACACACUACAAGGUACACUUUUAUAUCUAUCCUUUUCUUUUAUUUAUGUUGCUUGCCUGAGUGUUUCUCCUUGCGAUGGAUGAAUGUGUUUUUUCUUCCGAUAAACUACCAAAUAUUUUUAAGUAAAUUAUUUCUUUUAAAACUAAUCACACAUGUCAUUUUUUGACUUCACUUUGCAGAUUAUUUAUCUAAAAUUCCUACUAAGUGCAAUAAUCCAAAAACUUGAUAUGUGUAGGAAUUUUAAUAGUGCUGGCUUGUUGUUACACUUAAACCUAAAAUUAUUUUUUAUGGUUCAAAUUAUAAGAGAUGUUGUGCUAAGAUGACUGUAUGGCUAACAACCAUGAAAGUAUAUCACGUGGAAACAUGUAAGCCUAAAGGAAUGGCUUCUAACUCUUGUGAGGAGAAGUCAUUUGAGCCUAUCGAAAACCUUUUUAGAGGUGCUAUAAUAAGCACUCUUAUUGAGAACAUAGUGAAUUGUUACCUGCACUUGUUCACUACUCAAGAGAUGUAGGAUGCACUUGCUGCAAAAUUUGGGGUCUCUAUUACAAAUAGUGAGCUACAUAUUAUGGAGAAGUUCUAUGACUACAGGAUGGUUAAAAACCAUUCUAUGAUAGAAUAAGCCCAUCAGAUUUAGCAGGUUGCAAAAGAGCUCGUGCCUUUUCCUUACAUGUUGCCUAACAAGUUUAUGGUUGGAUGCAUCAUUGCUAAGUUACCACCUUCUUGGAGGUAUUUUGCUACUUCUCUAAUGCAUAAGAGACCGGAUUAGAACAUUGUUGAUCUAAUUGGUUGUCUUGAUGUUGAGGACAAGACAAGAGAAAAGUACACAUGCAUGAAAGGUAUUAAGGGAAAUUCUAGUGCAAAUAUGGUGCAGAAAAAGAAUUUAUGCCCUUAAAAGAAGUCCAAAGGCAAACCUAGGAAGGUCAAUGGCUAUCAAAUAGUCGGUUUCAUGAAUAGGAAGGUAAACAAGAAAGGAGAAUGCUUUUAUAUGUGAUUGGUCUGACCAUUGGGCUAAGUAUUUCCUAGAACGCAAGGACAAGCAAAAGAAAUCAACAAAUGUUGUUACUACUAGCAUAGAAGGUGGAGCUACUGGGUAUAUACCCUUAGUUCUUUUAGAUAGUCGUUUACAUGAUUUGUGUAUUAACACCAGAGCAAGCAUACUUAUGUGUGUUGAAUGUUCCUUGUUUUCUUGUUACCAUGCUAGAAGGACAUCCUCCAUGCUGAUGGGAA